rnacentral:rRNA from 1 species
AUUGAACGCUGGCGGCAGGCCUAACACAUGCAAGUCGAGCGAGCGGCGGACGGGUGAGUAAUGAUUGGGGACUGCCCGUUAGAGGGGGAUAACUACUGGAAACGGUAGCUAAUACCGCAUACUAUCGGAUAACCCAUAUGGGAUUAGCUAGUUGGUGAGGUAAUGGCUCACCAAGGCGACGAUCCCUAGCUGGUCUGAGAGGAUGAUCAGCCACACUGGGACUGAGAGACGGCCCAGACUCCUAAGGAGGCAGCAGUGGGGAAUAUUGCACAAUGGGCGAAAGCCUGAUGUAGCCAUGCCGCGUGUAUGAAGAAGGCCCUAGGGUUGUAAAGUACUUUCAGUCUGGAGGCGUUACCGACAGACGAAGCCCCGGCUAACUCCGUGCCAGCAGCCGCGGUAAUAC